GGCUCAGGAUGAACGCUGGCGGCGUGCUUAACACAUGCAAGUCGAACGAAGAUGCCGGAGUGCUUGCACUUUGGCAGACUGAGUGGCGGACGGGUGAGUAACGCGUGGGUAACCUGCCUCAUACAGGGGGAUAACAGUUGGAAACGACUGCUAAUACCGCAUAAGCGCACAGGACCGCAUGGUCUGGUGUGAAAAACUCUGGUGGUAUGAGAUGGACCCGCGUCUGAUUAGCCAGUUGGCGGGGUAACGGCCCACCAAAGCGACGAUCAGUAGCCGACCUGAGAGGGUGACCGGCCACAUUGGGACUGAGACACGGCCCAAACUCCUACGGGAGGCAGCAGUGGGGAAUAUUGCACAAUGGGGGAAACCCUGAUGCAGCGACGCCGCGUGAGCGAAGAAGUAUUUCGGUAUGUAAAGCUCUAUCAGCAGGGAAGAAGAAUGACGGUACCUGACUAAGAAGCACCGGCUAAAUACGUG
rnacentral:rRNA from 1 species